rnacentral:rRNA from 1 species
CCCUUAGAUGUUCUGGGCCGCACGCGCGCUACACUGACGCAUUCAACGAGCCUAUCCUUGACCGACAGGUCCGGGUAAUCUUUGAAUCUGCAUCGUGACGGGGAUAGAUUAUUGCAAUUAUUAAUCUUCAACGAGGAAUGCCUAGUAGGCGCAAGUCAUCAGCUUGCGUCGAUUACGUCCCUGCCCUUUGUACACACCGCCCGUCGCUCCUACCGAUUGGGUGUGCUGGUGAAAUGUUCGGAUCGGCCGUUUGUCGCGGUUUCCGCGGCUCGUGGCUGAGAAGUUCAUUAAACCCUCCCACCUAGAGGAAGGAGAAGUCGUAACA